rnacentral:rRNA from 1 species
GGGACAACAGUUCGAAAGGACUGCUAAUACCGGAUGUUGUAGAGUUUCUGCAUGGGAAUCCUACUAAAGGUGGCCUCUACUUGUAAGCUAUCGCUUUACGAUGGGUCUGCGUCUGAUUAGCUAGUUGGUGGGGUAACGGCCUACCAAGGCGACGAUCAGUAGCCGGUCUGAGAGGAUGAACGGCCACAUUGGAACUGAGACACGGUCCAGACUCCUACGGGAGGCAGCAGUGGGGAAUCUUCCGCAAUGGGCGCAAGCCUGACGGAGCAACGCCGCGUGAGUGAAGAAGGGUUUCGACUCGUAAAGCUCUGUUGUCGGGGACGAAUGUGGAGAUGGUGAAUAACCAUUUUCAAUGACGGUACCUGACGAGGAAGCCACGGCUAACUACGUGCCAGCAGCCGCGGUAAUACGUAGGUGGCGAGCGUUGUCCGGAAUUAUUGGGCGUAAAGGGAGCGCAGGCGGGAAGGUAAGUCUAUCUUAAAAGUGCGGGGCUCAACCCCGUGAGGGGAUGGAAACUAUCUUUCUUGAGUGCAGGAGAGGAAAGCGGAAUUCCUAGUGUAGCGGUGAAAUGCGUAGAUAUUAGGAGGAACACCAGUGGCGAAGGCGGCUUUCUGGACUGUAACUGACGCUGAGGCUCGAAAGCGUGGGGAGCGAACAGGAUUAGAUACCCUGGUAGUCCACGCCGUAA